rnacentral:rRNA from 1 species
UACGUAGGGUGCGAGCGUUGUCCGGAAUUAUUGGGCGUAAAGAGCUCGUAGGCGGUGUGUCACGUCGGCCGUGAAAAACCUGCAGCUUAAACUGUGGGCGUGCGGUCGAUACGGGCAUCACUGGAGUUCGGCAGGGAGACUGGAAUUCCUGGUGUAGCGGUGAAAUUCGUAGAUAUUCGGAAGAACACCGUGGCGAAGGC